rnacentral:rRNA from 1 species
CCUACGGGAGGCAGCAGUGGGGAAUAUUGCGCAAUGGGCGAAAGCCUGACGCAGCGACGCCGCGUGGGGGAUGAAGGUCUUCGGAUCGUAAACCUCUGUCAGCAGGGAAGAACGGUCACUGUGCUAAUCAGCAGUGAAUUGACGGUACCUGCAAAGGAAGCACCGGCUAACUCCGUGCCAGCAGCCGCGGUAAUACGGAGGGUGCGAGCGUUAAUCGGAAUUACUGGGCGUAAAGCGCUCGUAGGCGGUAUGUCAAGUCAAGGGUGAAAUCCCCGCGCUCAACGUGGGAACUGCCUGUGAAACUGGCAAACUGGAGUGUGUGAGAGGCUAGUGGAAUUCCAGGUGUAGGAGUGAAAUGCGUAGAUAUCUGGAGGAACAUCAGUGGCGAAGGCGACUAUCUGGCACAUAACUGACGCUGAGGAGCGAAAGCGUGGGUAGCAAACAGGAUUAGAUACCCUAGUAGUC